rnacentral:rRNA from 1 species
UACGUAGGGCGCAAGCGUUGUCCGGAAUUAUUGGGCGUAAAGAGCUCGUAGGCGGUCUGUCACGUCGGCUGUGAAAACCCGGGGCUCAACCCCGGGCCUGCAGUCGAUACGGGCAGACUAGAGUGUGGUAGGGGAGACUGGAAUUCCUGGUGUAGCGGUGAAAUGCGCAGAUAUCAGGAGGAACACCGGUGGCGAAGGCGGGUCUCUGGGCCAUAACUGACGCUGAGGAGCGAAAGCGUGGGGAGCGAACAGG